GGGAAACUGCCCGAUGGAGGGGGAUAACUACUGGAAACGGUAGCUAAUACCGCAUAACGUCGCAAGACCAAAGUGGGGGACCUUCGGGCCUCACACCAUCGGAUGUGCCCAGAUGGGAUUAGCUAGUAGGUGGGGUAAUGGCUCACCUAGGCGACGAUCCCUAGCUGGUCUGAGAGGAUGACCAGCCACACUGGAACUGAGACACGGUCCAGACUCCUACGGGAGGCAGCAGUGGGGAAUAUUGCACAAUGGGCGCAAGCCUGAUGCAGCCAUGCCGCGUGUAUGAAGAAGGCCUUCGGGUUGUAAAGUACUUUCAGCGGGGAGGAAGGCGGUGAAGUUAAUAGCUUCACUGAUUGACGUUACCCGCAGAAGAAGCACCGGCUAACUCCGUGCCAGCAGCCGCGGUAAUACGGAGGGUGCAAGCGUUAAUCGGAAUUACUGGGCGUAAAGCGCACGCAGGCGGUCUGUCAAGUCGGAUGUGAAAUCCCCGGGCUUAACCUGGGAACUGCAUUCGAAACUGGCAGGCUAGAGUCUUGUAGAGGGGGGUAGAAUUCCAGGU
rnacentral:rRNA from 1 species